AAGUCGUAACAAGGUCUCCGUAGGUGAACCUGCGGAGGGAUCAUUAACACGUUUUAAAACACGUUUUAACUACACCAACCAACCACGUGAACUAUUUAACACUCCUGGAAGAGAAAGAAUUCUGUCUCCUCUCACUAAUGAUGAGCUCGAUAAAAAGAGCAGUGAGUUUAGACUAGCAUUGCAGUUAAGAGCUGACUUGUACAGACCUUUCACUUUUGGGCUAAAUGCUCCUUUCAUCAUUGCAGCGCAAACAACCACUUUCACCACUUCUAUAACCAUUGACUGAUCUUUUUUUCUUUGCAACAUAGGAAAAAAACUAAAUCAAAUAUCUAAGCACAACUCUUAGCAACGGAUAUCUUGGUUCUC
rnacentral:misc_RNA from 1 species